rnacentral:rRNA from 1 species
GACGAACGCUGGCGGCGCGCCUAACACAUGCAAGUCGAACGAGCGAGAGAGAGCUUGCUUCUCAAGCGAGUGGCGAACGGGUGAGUAACGCGUGAGGAACCUGCCUCAAAGAGGGGGGACAACAGUUGGAAACGACUGCUAAUACCGCAUAAGCCCACGACCCGGCAUCGGGUAGAGGGAAAAGGAGCAAUCCGCUUUGAGAUGGCCUCGCGUCCGAUUAGCUAGUUGGUGAGGUAAUGGCCCACCAAGGCGACGAUCGGUAGCCGGACUGAGAGGUUGAACGGCCACAUUGGGACUGAGACACGGCCCAGACUCCUACGGGAGGCAGCAGUGGGGAAUAUUGCACAAUGGGGGAAACCCUGAUGCAGCGACGCCGCGUGGAGGAAGAAGAUCUUCGGAUUGUAAACUCCUGUUGUUGAGGAAGAUAAUGACGGUACUCAACAAGGAAGUGACGGCUAACUACGUG